CCUACGGGGGGCAGCAGUGAGGAAUAUUGGUCAAUGGGCGCGAGCCUGAACCAGCCAAGUCGCGUGAGGGAAGACGGUCCUAGGGAUUGUAAACCUCUUUUGUCGGGGAGCAAAAGACGCCACGUGUGGCGUUCCGAGAGUACACGAAGAAAAAGCAUCGGCUAACUCUGUGCAAGCAGCCGCGGUAAUACGGAGGAUGUGAGCUUUAUCCGGUUUUAUUGGGUUUAAGGGGUGCGCAGGCGGAAGAUCAAGUCAGCGGUAAAAUUGAGAGGCUCAACCUCUUCGAGCCGUUGAAACUGGUUUUCUUGAGUGAGCAAGAGGUAUGCGGAAUGCGUGGUGUAGCGGUGAAAUGCAUAGAUAUCACGCAGAACUCCGAUUGCGAAGGCAGCAUACCGGCGCUCAACUGACGCUCAUGCACGAAAGUGUGGGUAUCGAACAGGAUUAGAUACCCUUGUAGUC
rnacentral:rRNA from 1 species